AUUUCCUUAGUAAUGGCGAAUGAACAGGAAAUAGUUCAUCAUUGAAUCGCCUUGCGUUAAGUGAGUGUGAAAUGUAAUGUUUGAACGGAAACUGCGAACAGUACUUUGUGAUCUCAAGUCCAAUUGAAUGUGGCCAAUACCCAUGGCGGGUGUCAGGCCCUUGGUGUGAUCAAAUGGCUGUUAUAGUUUCGGUUUUGGAGUCGGGUUGUUUGAGAUUGCAAUCCUAAGAUGUGUGGUAAACUCCAUACAAAACUAAAUAUAUCUACGAGACCGAUAGCGAACAAGUACCGUGAGGGAAAGUUGAAAAGUACUUUGAAAAGAGAGUUCAAUAGCACGUGAAACUGUACAUUGAAAAGCGGAUGAGAGCACAUGCACUGAACUAAGUAAUUCACCUUCAUACGUUGUGUUAUUCAAUAUAUAUACACAAUAUUGAUGUCGAAUUUCAAUGUAUGAAGCGCAUUCUACUUGUUCACAAGCUGUUCAGGUUUAAUGUUGUGCUUGUCGCAUGCAUUUUCGUACGACCAAUCAAUCGGUUGGUCCAGGUGCAUGAAUUUCGCGCAAUAACAGACCUUCGAACAACGUUUGGCAAGCUUUCAGAAAUGUCGACGGGUUAGGUUAGAUUGAGUGCUUUGAAAAAGGUACGUUAAUUUCUCCUGCCUGGCGUGCGCAUACAGCUAUGCCAAACUACUGAAGAACAGCAAAAUGUGUGCAGUAUCAUCCGAACCGUCUUGAAACACGGGCUAAGGAGUUCAACCUGUACGCGAGUUUUCUUGUUUACAGAUGAAACUGGAAAGCGUAGUGAAAGCAAACUUGUAAAGUGUUUGUGCAAACUGGCCAUCAAUAUGGUUAGGUGAGCACUGGUGAUGGGUGGUACGCAAAUUUCGAGCUACCGUCUGCAACGGAGCGUAUAAGUUGAGACCCGAAAGAUGGUGAACUAUGCCUGAGCAGGAUGAAGCCAGAGGAAACUCUGGUGGAGGUCCGUAGCGCUUUUGACGUGCAAAUCAAUCGUCUAACUUGGGUAUAGGGGCGAAAGACU
rnacentral:rRNA from 1 species